AGAGUUUGAUCCUGGCUCAGGACGGAACGCUGGCGGCGUGCUUAACACAUGCAAAGUCGAACGGUGACGGAGAGCUUGCUCUCCCUGAUCAGUGGCGAACGGGUGAGUAACACGUGGGCAAUCUGCCCCUGACUUCGGGAUAACGCUUCGAAAAAAGGUGCUAAUACCGGAUACGAACCUGGCAGGCAUCUGCCGGGUUGGAAAGUUUUUCGGUCAGGGAUGAGCCCGCGGCCUAUCAGCUAGUUGGUGAGGUAACGGCUCACCAAGGCGACGACGGGUAGCCGGCCUGAGAGGGCGACCGGCCACACUGGGACUGAGACACGGCCCAGACUCCUACGGGAGGCAGCAGUGGGGAAUAUUGCGCAAUGGGCGAAAGCUUGACGCAGCAACGCCGCGUGAGGGAUGACGGCCUUCGGGUUGUAAACCUCUUUCAGCAGGGAAGAAGCGAAAGUGACGGUACCUGCAGAAGAAGCACCGGCUAACUACGUGCCAGCAGCCGCGGUAAUACGUAGGGUGCAAGCGUUGUCCGGAUUUAUUGGGCGUAAAGGGCUCGUAGGCGGUCCGUCACGUCGGAAGUGAAAACCUAGAGCUUAACUCUGGGCCUGCUUUCGAUACGGGCGAACUUGAGUUCGGUAGGGGAGACUGGAAUUCCUGGUGUAGCGGUGGAAUGCGCAGAUAUCAGGAGGAACACCAAUGGCGA
rnacentral:rRNA from 1 species